CCUACGGGCGGCAGCAGUGAGGAAUAUUGGACAAUGGGCGCGAGCCUGAUCCAGCCAAGUAGCGUGAAGGAUGAAUGCCCUCCGGGUUGUAAACUUCUUUUAUGAAGGAAUAAAGUGAGGCGCGUGUGCCUUUUUGUAUGUACUUUAUGAAUAAGGAUAGGCUAACUCAGUGCCAGCAGCCGCGGUAAUACGGAGGGUCCGAGCGUUAUCCGGAUUUAUUGGGUUUAAAGGGAGCGUAGAUGGGUUGUUAAGUCAGUUGUGAAAGUUUGCGGCUCAACCGUACAAUUGCAAUUGAUACUGGCAGCCUUGAGUACAGUUGAGGUAGGCGGAAUUCGUGGUGUAGCGGUGAAAUGCGUAGAUAUCACGAAGAACUCCGAUGGCGAAGGCAGCUUACUAAACUGCCACUGACAUUGAUGCUCGAAAGUGUGGGGAGCAAACAGGAUUAGAUACCCCUGUAGUC
rnacentral:rRNA from 1 species